GUAGGUGAACCUGCGGAAGGAUCAUUCUCGCGAUCCCUGAGGGGGACAACCUGUGCACAUGUUGCUGUUCUCGUGGUUCUCUUGAGGAUGUCCCGAAGGGACUCCUCCCAACUAGGCUCUUCCGUAAGGAAGAGCUGAGUAGGUUCUUUCUGAGUAGGCUCUUCCGUAAGGAAGAGCUGGAAGGAACUUUCUGAGUAGGCUCUUCCAAGUAGGCUCUUCCGUAAGGAAGAGCUGAAAGGAAUUCUCCAAG
rnacentral:misc_RNA from 1 species